GAGAGAAAGGAGGGGAAAAAACACAAGAGAGUUUCUCCUGAUAGAGCCGCAGCACUUGCCAUGGGAAGGGUGCACAGACUGGAAGAAAGAAGAGAAGGCUUUUCCAGGCUCACAGUGAUUUGCAAGUGAAUGUGGUGGGAGGGGUGAAAAGAAAGGAGGGCUUUCCGUCGAAGGCUCCCUCUCUCCUCCUCCUGCUCCGGACAGAAUGGCUCUCUUAUGUUUCAAGUCCAAGUGAUCUCAAGGCAACAUACAUGAUUCAUCCUACCUUACAAAGCUUUAUAGUAAUGCUGCAACUCCAGAACGCACCUGGAAGUAUUCCUCUGUACUAAUCCGAUCUUGAAGGCAGGGUCUAGUGGACUAAAUGACUUUCAGAAGUGUAUCAAAAUGACUUAGUUUGAUGAAGUAAACCGAAGCAUCUUGAACAUCAGGGACACAAUUUUGUUCUCCUUCAUGUUUUUUAAUCCUUCCUGUGGCUCCAGCGAUGACUGUGGCAUUUGAAAAUAGCAAAGCCAGUUUGUGCAACCUGUUAUUCGAUCCUUUCCUAAUGUAAAUAAA